UACGGGGGGGGUAAGCGUUGUUCGGAAUUAUUGGGCGUAAAGAGCUUGUAGGCGGUUUGUCGCGUCUGCUGUGAAAAUCCGGGGCUCAACUCCGGACUUGCAGUGGGUACGGGCAGACUAGAGUGUGGUAGGGGAGACUGGAAUUCCUGGUGUAGCGGUGGAAUGCGCAGAUAUCAGGAGGAACACCGAUCGGCGAAGGCAGGUCUCUGGGCCAC
rnacentral:rRNA from 1 species